CACAGUAAACGAUGGAUGCCCGCUGUUUGCGAUAUACUGUGAGCGGCCAAGAGAAAUCGUUAAGCAUCCCACCUGGGGAGUACGCCGGCAACGGUGAAACUCAAAGGAAUUGACGGGGGCCCGCACAAGCGGAGGAACAUGUGGUUUAAUUCGAUGAUACGCGAGGAACCUUACCCGGGCUUGAACUGCAGGAGAACGAUACAGAGAUGUUGAGGUCCUUCGGGACUCCUGUGGAGGUGCUGCAUGGUUGUCGUCAGCUCGUGCCGUGAGGUGUCGGCUUAAGUGCCAUAACGAGCGCAACCCUUUUCGUCAGUUGCCAUCAGGUGAUGCUGGGCACUCUGGCGAUACUGCCACCGUAAGGUGUGAGGAAGGUGGGGAUGACGUCAAAUCAGCACGGCCCUUACGUCCGGGGCUACACACGUGUUACAAUGGGGAGUACAGAGAGUCAACCGCCGGCAACGUCGGUUUAAUCAAGAAAGCUCUCCUCAGUUCGGAUUGGGGUCUGCAACCCGACC
rnacentral:rRNA from 1 species